UGGAAUACUAUGCAAUGCUAAAAAAAGAAAGUCUAUCAAGCCAUGAAAAGACAUGAAGGAAACUGAAAUGCAUACUACUAAGUAAAGAAGCCAGUCUGAAAA